GCCCGCAUGGCUCAGUGGUAGAGCGUGACACUAGUAUGAUGCACUGACCCAGGGUUAUUACACCGGGUUGCGUGGACACAUCUGGCUAUGUCAAGGUCGUCAGUUCAAUUCUGGCUGUGGGCA
rnacentral:tRNA from 1 species